CAUAUUGGGUCCAUUCAGAAGCAUGCGGCCCUCUGGUUUUAUAAAUCCGGAACCGUCAGGCCACCGCGUUCGGGCAGGGGGCUUCUUCUCUCCGACUCUUGGACAAAGGCAUCUGGUUCCAAAAUGCACGCUGGUCUAUGGAGGGCACAGAGCAUUCUACCUUGAUGAAUCAGAGCAUCUUAUAUCCUCUUGGAGUUUACUACUGGCAACCAACUUCUUUCACAGGAUGGAUGGAGCUAUUAAAGCCUGUUGUUUCCAGGGAGCCUCUGGAGAAUGUUCUAGAGUGUUCAUCUGGGGAUCAUUUUAUGUGUUUAUACCUUGGUGUACACAUACGAAGAAAUUCACUGAUGUACUUGCAAAUGCUCGCACAUCAACACAGCAGCAGCAGGAUUGAUUUCAGAGCAUUAACUGCCAAGCCCUUCCCACGGGCCCAGCAGUUACACUCACCUCAGCAGCCCGGCCACCCUUCUGGUCCUGUUGCAGGAGUUCACCAAGAGGACGUGACCUCUAAUUGACACUCAAACUGGACCCAGGCGAUUGGAGGCACCGCACCCCAUCCUCUGUCCUGGAAUGUAUGUUCUGCCCACCGUUCCCACAGCAGAAACAGUCCCAAGGACACGGCCGUGAGAGACAGAACCAAUAGACUCAGAUUUCCAGUCUCCUGAGACCCCAGGAAUUCCAGCUGGAUGUCCAUCAUCAAAGCAAAACCGUGAAUAUGAUUGUCUGUAAAUGCAGGUCUGCAAAUCAGGCCUUCAGUCUCAAGCAGUAGUCUCGAAGCUAAAAUUAGAGUGGUGGAAUGUCAUGGAAUCACUGCAAGCGUUACAUCCCACAGACAUCCCUUCAAAGUCUGUAUUUGGGAGAAGAUGCACAUGAACUUAAGGUCCCACAAACUCAGGGGCCUCCACUUCCAAAGCCAGCUACCCAUAGGCUCUCAUAUUUCCCAUGUUCUGGACAGCUGGAUUUCCCAAACUCUGCCAACCACUGCAUCCAGUGGACCUAUAGACCAUUUUUUCUCCCACUGACGAAGUGGUUCUCGCGUGUGUGUGUGCUAAGUCACUUUGAGUGAUAGUGAUAGUUGCUCAGUCACACCUGACUCUUUGCAA